UAUAAUCUUCCUCUCCAUAUCAAAACAGUUUUUGUGCUUAUCUUGUUUGCUUUCCUUUCAUAUUUCAUUAACUUUUGAUUUUUCUCCAUUCUUUAACAAGUAAAUAGAAGAUAACAGUGAAGGUAUACUUCCAUGUUGACCAAACUGUGUGUAAUUUCUCAAUUGCUUUAAAUUUGCAAUGAUUGUAAUUUUUUUCUCAUUGUAAAUAAAUAUUCGCUUUUAUAUCUAAUUUUUCAUAAUUUUGUAUUAAAGAAGGACAUCCAAAUUGGAGAAGCUUCAGGCCUCAAAUACCUGGACCCAUUCCUGACUGGAUAUUGAGGAGAGAUUUCUGGUGCUGAUUUGCAAGUGAGUCAUUUAUGUAGGAUUGUGUGAGUCUUCGAGUCUUGGCAAAGGAAGAAGCCAAGAGAACCUUUACUGUAUGGAAGGUGAACGUUCUUGGCUGUGAUGGAAGUAACUCGGCACCUACAUGCGGCUCAUUCUUUCCACCUCAUACACUGAAAAGACUUCCCAGGAAGAGCUGCCAAGACAUCCAAGGUCCGUGUGGCCUCCGUGAGCAACACUCAAGACACUUUGUGGAAGGCAUUCUUGGCCUUCAUGUAGCACUCUCAAAAGAUAAGAUAUAUUCUAUCCCUCUUCCCACCCUCACACCCCCUAUCCUCCAUUGCCAGUUUUCUUUAUUGACCUAUUAAAUAGUCACCAUCUGUCUAAAAGUGUCUUGAAGAUGUCCUUUUUGCAUUUUAUGCCUUGCUACUCAAAGUGUGGUCUGUGGACCAAAAGCAGCAUCAGUGUCACUGGGAACUUGUAAGAAAUUCAGUUCUUGGGCCUCACACCAGGGCUACUCAACCAGAAUCCACGUUUUAAUAAAAUUCUCAAGUGAUUUGUAUGCA
rnacentral:lncRNA from 1 species